rnacentral:rRNA from 1 species
ACGAACGCUGGCGGCGUGCUUAACACAUGCAAGUCGAACGAUAAAAGCCUUCGGGCUUGGAAAGUGGCGCACGGGUGAGUAAUGCAUAGGAACGUACCUCAGAGUGGGGGAUAACUACGGGAAACUGUAGCUAAUACCGCAUACGGUCGAAAGACUAAAGCAGGCCUCUGUUUACAAGCUUGCGCUGUGAGAGCGGCUUAUGUCCCAUUAGCUUGUUGGCGGGGUAAAAGCCCACCAAGGCGACGAUGGGUAGCUGGUCUGAGAGGAUGAUCAGCCACACUGGAACUGAGACACGGUCCAGACUCCUACGGGAGGCAGCAGUGGGGAAUCUUGCACAAUGGGCGCAAGCCUGAUGCAGCAACGCCGCGUGGGUGAAGACGGCCCUUGGGUUGUAAAGCCCUUUCGGCUGGGAAGAAGGGUUUGUGAGUUAAUACCUCGCAAAUUUGACGGUACCAGAGUAAGAAGCACCGGCUAAUUCCGU